UUAUGUUUUGGGAGAUACAAAAAACUGUUCUUCAAAUUUUUAGUCUACUUGGAACCUGUUUUAUGAAAAUUGUUUUCAUAAAACUGAGUUCAAUGAGUAUCAUUUUUGUGAAAACAACAAAAUGUUGUUUUGGGAGUUUCUGAAAACAUGCGGAGAACACUGUGCACUUAAAAAAAAAAAAAAAAGGGAAGCGGCUCUCGGUCAUAGCAGACCUUUUACGCCUCUUCCAAAAUGGGCUCUGCAACACCUCUCUUCUCUCUCCUCUCUACGACUUCUCCGCUUCUCUCUCCUCUCUACGGCUUCUCCCUCCUCUCCACCGCUUCUCUCUGCAAGAUCAUAUGUGUAUGUAUAAAUUAGUCUACAAAUCACACUCCUUUUUUCUGUAGCAAGUUUUUGUGGUUAUGGAUUUUGUUUUCUUUGUGGAUUUGGUUAUAGAUUUGGUUGGUUGGAUGAGUAUGAUAUCAAGAUUUGAUUAUGUAUUUUGUUGGUUGUGUGAGUUUGCUGUGGAUUUGAUUUUCAGUUUAGAGAUUUAGAGUUUUCAGUUUAGGGAUUUGGUUUUCAAUUUAAGGAUUUGAUAUGUGUAUGUAUAAAUUAGUCUACAUAUAUAUAUAUAUGGUCCCCUUUGCCUCAAUUUCCACUCCCUCAAACAAACAGUCCCUAUGGGAGAACAAUCCGAAUUCCAAAAUGCAAUUUUCAGAUUCUAUGUUGAGGUCCAUAUUUAAUUGUGAUUUGCGUUAUUGCAUCUAUGCGGUUGUAAUUUCUUCUUUGACAUUGCAAUUUCUGUUACUUUGUGAAAGGACCGUGAAUCAUAUAACAUGUGAUGGUGAAGGGUGCUCUGUCUCUGCAAUAGCAGAAUGAAAUUGUGUAGUGGGCAUAUUUAAUUGUGAUUUGUGUUUGAUUCUUACUGAUUUUUUAAUUUUUUUUUUCUGUAUAACAUAUUUUACUGGGUUUGAAUUGAACUAUAUAUAUAUAAGAUAUGCAAGUACUAUCAUAUUAAAAUUGAACUAUAUAUAUAUAUAUAUAUAUAUAUAUAUAUAUAUAUAUAGGUCUCUGUUUUUGUCUUUUUUUUGGAUGAAAUACAAACUCCCAUUUAAAUAAAUAUUCAUUCUUAUUUUGUGUUCCGGUCUCUCAGAUGGUAGGGUGUGAAAGCAAUUCUUUCUUUUCUUGUGAAUUAUGUGCAAGAUGUAGUGUGGCUAGAAUGUUUCAACACAAGUGAACAAUUUCUUUUUUUUGGAGGUUAUGAGCUUGAGAGAGCUUAAGAAUGAUGAACUUUGGUUCGUCAUAAGGGGGGGUUUACAUGGUUUUCUUCAAGUCUAUUAAAUGAGGACAUCCAUUUUAACAUUUUCCCUUCUUUUUUUUUUUUUUUUCCUCCCUAUAUUGUUUAGCAUGAUGUAACAUGUGUAUAAUUCUGCUAUGUCGUGAUCAAGAUCUUUGGGCCUUGGGGAUGAUUCUGUACUACAGUUUGGUGUAAUUUCAUGUGAAUAUCCAUUGAUAAUCGUCUUAAUUUGUUUAUCAUAAAGUGAUCGAAAGGUAUCUAAAGGAAUUUGUUUGUUUGUUUUAGUGUUAUUUAAUUCUCUAUUUGUGAUCAAUGGAUUAAAUUUAUUUAUAAUUUAUAUGAUGUUGUUGUGAUCAUAUAUGUAAAGUAGAAAGUAGAUUGUGCUUCAAUUUGAAUUAGCUUAACCUGAACUAUUUAUUUCUCUAAGUUGAUAUCACUGUUUACUAGUUAUCACACAUGAACCAGUAGCCAACUCUUCAUUUUUGUUUGUAGACCCUUGUUAGGAAUAUCUUGAUGUGCCUGUCUCCGUUAUGCUUUAUAGAGAAAAUUGCAACUGAGAACUUGAAAUGACUGCAAACAUAAAAUUCAAUUACAGUAGUACUAGUUUCAUGACCAACUUCUGUUUGAAAUUGGUUUGUUGUAAAUUUAAUUCAUAGUCAAGCUCAGAGUUCUUGUCAAGAGUCUCUCCAUGGAUUUCAUUGUUUCAAUUAACAUGCAUAAUAUAAAAUCCAAAAAGGUGCUUGAAGGUAACUUUUAUUGAAGCUGCCAAUUCAACUCUUCAUCACCCUAAUUAUUGUUAUGCAAUAAUUUAUAUAGAGCUAUACUGUACAUGAAGAUUGGGUAGAGCAGGCCGACCUCCCAGCAUCAUUGUGGUCGAAUCUCAUCAUACAUGUGUGAAACUGAGGCCAUAAUUAAAUUAGUGACUAGAAUGGUAUGUGUACAACUUCUAAAUAUUUUACUAGUGUUUCUAAAUAUUUAAAGCUUGUUUGAUUCUUAACUAUUGGAUUAGCAUUAUCAAUUUGGAUUAGAAAUUAUGUUCAGAGGUGGAUUAACUUUAUGGGUAUUAUACAUAUUUGAGUUGUGUGAAAAUCUUUUAUUGCUUGUAAUUCUUUGCCUAAUGCACAAAUAAAGGAUGGCAUCUCAAAUUGCUGAUGUUGAGGAGUCAGCUCUGUGGUCUACACAAUUAGAGAGAUGUUUUGUUGAUAUAAUGGUUGAGGAGGUUAACAAGGGGAACAUGCCAUCUGGGAUAUUUACUUUCAAGUGUUGGAAAAAGAUUACGGAGGAGUUCAAAAAUAAGACUAAUCACGCUUAUAAUGUGAAACAACUAAAGGCAAAAUUUAAUCGAUUACGUACAAAGCAUCGUGAGUUUUCAACUCUUCUAAACGAGACAACUGGGUUUGGUUGGGAUGCGGAAACAAACACUGUGACUGCUGAUGAAGAAACUUGGCAAACAUAUUUGCGGGCUCAUCCCAAUGCUAAGUAUUUUCGCAAAAAAGGUUGUGAAAAUUACAAACUUUUGAGAGUUCUUUUUAAUACGUCGAUUGCUACUGGGCAACUUCACUAUGCAUCCACUCAAGAUCCACCUAAUACAGACGAAGAACGAGAGCAGGAGGAUCAAUUUAUGAAUAUAGGUGUCCAUGUUAGUUCAACUGCUGAAGGUCAAGAUGAUUAAGAUAAUAUUCUAGUUGAAGACAAUAACCCUCAUCGUCGUAAAUCCACAUCCUCUAAUCGUCGUGCAAAAAAAGAGAGUAAAAAAGAUUCCAUUAGCGAUACUCUUGCUUGUAUUGUUGAAGCUUCCAAAGCAAGGACUGAAGCUUCAUUAGCUAAGGCGGAGACGUAUAAGAAAAUGAAACAUACUCAAAAGGCAACAAGCCCAGAUGCAUACUCUCUAAGUAAUUGUAUUGAAUGCCUUGAGGGUCUUGACGAGAUAGAUGAUGACACAUAUUUGAAGGCAACUGAAAAGUUCAAGGAAUUGCACUAUAGAGAAUUGUUCAUUAAGAUGAGUAUUUCUAGGAAGUUUGCUUGGUUAAAGAGCUUGGACUGACUUGAAGUUUGCUUGGUUGAAGAGCUUGGACUGACUUGGGUAGUUAUUGAAUGCAGGGUUUAGUUUUUGGUUGCAUGUGACUUGAAACACAUAUUUGGUUUUAUGUGUUAUUGAACAAUUUCCUUAUGCCUUUUUUUUUUUUUUUUUUUUUUUUUUUUCCAAUGCAUGUGACUUUAUGUUAUAUUCGUGUGGGGGACAAUUUAUUAUGUUUUAUGUUAUGAAAACUUUGUUUUGGUGUA